UCAGAUGUUUAAAGUUUGGGGGCACUUUUUGAAGGGCACCUUUUUGCUUCAAAGAGUUCCAGUCCCUCGCCUUGCGUGCCGGCAGGCCAAACAUUUCCCCUGGUGUGCUGUUACUUUGAAGGCACUUCUUGAUGCUCUUUUUAGUUGAGUCUCGCUACCGAGGAAGUAAACCACUGCUUCCCUUCUCUCUGUUCUCAUAAAUACCUCUAACUAAUAAAAUUGGGUGGCUUGGCCUCCCUUUUGCUUAAACAAGAAGUUUCAGAGCACUCUGUUUCAGAUGUUAUCGUUGGUGCAGGUGCUGCUGGCUCUCCGUCCCUUCUUAUUUUCAGAUUUGGAACUUUCUGUUGAAGUUUUAUUCCGGUUGUUCGAUUACGUGCUAUUGUUUUCAAACAGCAUAACCAGUUCCUUUGCAUAAGUUAAUGGCAUGUUUGGUUCCAAGUUGUAUUUCUGCUCUAUGAUGGCAUUCGUGUAUGCACUACUUACUGUAAGUAUGCUAUUGGAUGCAUGCCUUUACUGUAAAUAGAAAUGAAGUAAAGAUCUAAUAUCAUGAUAGAUUUGUUUGUCAAACUGUUUUGCUGGUGUAAUUAUUUUCUAAAGUGUUUGGCAUGUGAUAUUUAAUUUUAUUCUUAGUUUGUUGAAAUUUAUAUUUCAAAUAGGUUGUUCGAUUCAAGUUAUUAUGCCUAUGUAUAAUUCUAAUAGAUGGAAUGGACCAGUAAUGGCUAAUAAAAAUAUCAUCUAGAAUGCAACAAGUUUCUUAUAUUUUAUCAUUUUCUUCAUGUCAUGAUAUUGCUGGCUAAAUCCUCUGCAAAAUGAUUGUGAAGAACUUUUUUUUUUUAAUUUUUCAGUUAAAUUGCAGUUUCAAUCAAAUUUUAUCUUAUGAUGGACAAAAGUUGGAUAAAUAAACCAAGAUCCAGCAAAGAUUAUUUAGAUGGAGUUCAAGAUUUUAUUAAAUUUGCUGUUGAGAAAUCUAGUAUGAAUGGAAAGAUUUUAUGUCCAUGCCGAAAAUGUGUA
rnacentral:lncRNA from 1 species